rnacentral:rRNA from 1 species
UACGAAGGGGGCUAGCGUUGCUCGGAAUGACUGGGCGUAAAGGGCGCGUAGGCGGCUUGCACCGUCAGAUGUGAAAUUCCUGGGCUUAACCUGGGGGCUGCAUUUGAUACGUGUGGGCUUGAGUGCGGAAGAGGGUCGUGGAAUUCCCAGUGUAGAGGUGAAAUUCGUAGAUAUCGGGAGGAACACCAGUGGCGAAGGCGGCGACCUGGGCCAAUAUUGACGCUGAGGUGCGAAAAGCGUGGG